rnacentral:rRNA from 1 species
AUUCCUUCAAGUUUCAGCCUUGCGACCGUACUCCCCAGGCGGCGAGCUUAACGGCUUCCCUGCGACACUCCGAUCGCGAACUGCGAUCGGAUCAUCUAGCUCGCAUCGUUUACGGCUGGGACUACCCGGGUAUCUAAUCCGCUUCGCUCCCCCAGCUUUCAUCCCUCACCGUCGAGCGCGUUCUGGCGGACCGCCUUCGCCACUGGUGGUCUUCCGCAGAUCAAAGGAUUUUACCCCUACCUGCGGAGUACCGUCCGCCUCUCUCGCCUCCUAGUCUCGCGGUAUCUCCUGCGGCCCAACCGUUAAGCGGUUGAAUUUAACAGGAGACCUACGAAACCGGCUACGGAUGCUUUAGGCCCAAUAAUCGUCCCGACCACUCGAGGAGCUGGUAUUACCGCGGCGGCUGACACCAGACU